ACAGAAAGCAAGAAAGUGCUACUUGCUGAGGUAAGCAGAACUCAGAGAUCUGCUUAUCAUAUUCUCUCGUGUGCUGGGAUUAAAAGCAUGCUAUGCUUGCUUCUGUCUGAUUUGUGUGUGUGUGUUGUUGUUUGCUUACUAUAAAUCUUCUGAGAUCUGUCUAUAUUGUAACAGAAUUUGUAUCCUUUCCAGUGCUCAGCUGCAGUCUACAAAUCUGUUGAUUGCUGGUCCAGGUAUUUCUAGUUGUGGCUGUCCCAGCGGCUAUUUGCUGCGGACAUUUGUGUGUGAAUGCUCCAGCCUGACCUUCUGAGGAUUUCCCCACUUUCCUUGUUCCCAAACGCUUGUCAGAUUGUAGACAUGCUGUGUGGUUCGUGCACACGGAGACUGCUGGUCACAUUGAACUGAUGAAAGGCAAAAAAAGGACAUUGAGUGAAUGAAACGUAAUUUUUCUUAAAUUAGGGACAAAGUAUAGAGCAUAUUGGUUAUUAAAAAGCCCUUUAACUUAUGACCAUCCAUCCAUGGCCAGUGGAAGGGAAUUUGUGAACUAGUUUUUGUUUUGUGAGAGUUUGUAUUUGGGCGUGAGUGCACACACUAUUUGGUGUAUAUGUGGAGGUCAGAGGACAACUUGCAGCAGUCUCUUCUCUUUUUCAACUACGCGAGUGCCAGAGACAGAACUCAGGUCGUCUGGAUUGGCAGCAAUUUACUACUUGGCACCUCUACCUACUGAGUCGUCUCACAAGCCUGAGCACAUUCGUCAGUCAAACGCAGUUAGUUUCGGUGUUCCCCCUCUGGUUGGGGAGGAAGAGAUGGUGGUGUUCCGAAGACGAAGACGCAGCAGGGUGCUCAGAGAACACAGCAGCGCUCAGCCAAAGAGUGACAAGGGGUGAAGUGGGAAGCUUCUGUAAGACUUUUGAACUUGGAAGUAGCUUUGCUAGGCAUGAUGGGUAAUGCUGACUGCCAACUUUGCUAGCCUUCUGUCUGAGCUCCGCCCCACAGUUACCUGGCAACAGCCAGGUGUGCCUGACUCACUAUAAAAGGGGCUGCUAGCCGGGCGUGGUGGCCCACCCAGCACUCGGGAGGCAGAGGCAG
rnacentral:lncRNA from 1 species